rnacentral:rRNA from 1 species
UGAGGAAUAUUGGUCAAUGGGCGGGAGCCUGAACCAGCCAAGCCGCGUGAGGGAAGAAGGCCCUAUGGGUCGUAAACCUCUUUUGUCAGGGAACAAAAGCGAGUAUGUAUACUGGUCUGAGUGUACCUGAAGAAAAAGCAUCGGCUAACUCCAUGCCAGCAGCCGCGGUAAUACGGAGGAUGCGAGCGUUAUCCGGAUUUAUUGGGUUUAAAGGGUGCGUAGGCGGCGGUGCAAGUCAGCGGUAAAAGCCCGGGGGCUCAACCCCGGCGAGCCGUUGAAACUGCAGUGCUAGAGAAGGCGAGAGGUACGCGGAAUGCGCAGUGUAGCGGUGAAAUGCUUAGAUAUUGCGCAGAACUCCGAUUGCGAAGGCAGCGUACUGGCGCCUGACUGACGCUGAGGCACGAAAAGCGUGGGGGAUCGAACAGGGGGUUAGAUACC